ACUGAGGGUGCGAGCGUUAAUCGGAAUUACUGGGCGUAAAGCGAGUGUAGGCGGCUACCUAAGUCGGAUGUGAAAGCCCCGGGCUUAACCUGGGAAUUGCAUUCGAUACUGAGUAGCUAGAGUUUGGUAGAGGUAAGUGGAAUUCCGGGUGUAGCGGUGAAAUGCGUAGAUAUCCGGAGGAACAUCAGUGGCGAAGGCGGCUUACUGGACCAAAACUGACGCUGAGGCUCGAAAGCGUGGGGAGCAAACAGG
rnacentral:rRNA from 1 species